UAUAUAGAGUAUGUGGUUGUAUUUUAUCCAGCCAUACCUUCUUUAUAUAGAGUAUGUGGUUGUAUUUUAUCCAGCCAUACCUUCUUUAUAUAGAGUAUGUGGUUGUAUUUUAUCCAGCCAUACCUUCUUUAUAUAGAGUAUGUGGAUGUAUUUUAUCCAGCCUCUUUGUUGUCUCAAUGCUUCAGUGCAAAAACAGCGUUAACUUUGGGGUUUGUCACAACAACUCAAUGUGUGGUUUGGACACAAUGUGUACUGUGAUCUGGUGAAGGGCUUUCUGAAAGCCAGCAUUAAUCAUGUAUCCCUGACACACACCCUCACCCUCACCUUCCCUCACCCUCACCCUCACCUUCUCUAACCCUCACCUUCCCUAACCCUCACCCUCACCUUCCCUAACCCUCACCUUCCCUAACCCUCACCUUCCCUAACCCUCACCUUCUCUAACCCUCACCUUCUCUAAGCCUCAUCUUCCCUAACCCUCACCCUCACCUUCCCUAACCCUCACCUUCCCUAACCCUCACCCUCACCUUCCCUCACCCUCACCCUCACCUUCUCUAACCCUCACCUUCCCCCUUCGUCCCUAUUAUUUUAGGGGAGGAGAAGACAUGUGUUUGAGAGAACAAGAGAAAGGAGAGGGAAGGAGAAAGAGAGAGAGAGAGAUAAUAUCAAAAUGAAAGCAUGGGUCAAGCGCAGACCGUACUAGAGAAAACAAAUCUUUGGUAUCUUUGGUUUCAUCAACACGAUUAAAAUGACAAAUGGAAAGGUCAGUGAGGUAGCCUCUUUGGUUCUCACUAUAGAAAUAGAAAUAGUUUUUUUUUUUUUGAUUUUUUUUUUUACACAAGUCAUUCUUGGAAGCAGCUAGUUUAAGGGAAUCCUCUGUUUUCCGUUAUCAAGUGAAACAACGACCAACCUCUCAAAUGCUCCAGUUAUCUUUGGUGAGUCUGUCUCAUUCAACGUGCGACCCUCCUCUAUCAGUGGCACAAACAUCCGUCUGAAAUUCAUUGCUUGGUAAACAGAAUAAUGCAAAGGUCUCGCAAAUGAAACAAAUAAAUGAAUUAAUAAUAAAUCACAGAAGGGAAAAAAAAAAAACAAUGCAGUGCUCAUUCAUUAUCUUGUAAAAAUCAACAGAUUGUUUUCAUCAGGAAGAAUAAAGUUAAUGGAGAGAAAAAAAUUAUUCUGUAUAGGAAAAAGAUUUAACUAAAUGUGUUAUAAUAAUUAUAUAAUGGUGACAUUCAUCGUUACAACUACCCUGACAUUAUUUCAUUACAAAAAAAACAUUGUUCUGUCAUUAUUCACUAAACAAUUGAACACCCUCUUGUUGCUUUUUAAAGUAAAGCUUUUACUAAUAAUAAAUUAACGUGGGUAGGACAGAAGCACUGCAUCUUUGAUUCUCUAACUCUCUUAAAUACCCAUAAAUAUUCAUCCCCCCCCAAAAAAAUUACAUCUAAUUAAAUAACAGUAAAUAAUUAAGUAAAAAAACGAUCAUGUGUACUAACACACCUCAUAAAUAAAUAGUUUGACAGCAUCCUCAAAAGAAAACAGGACAAACAAUGUAAACUUUGGUAAACUUAUCAAGGUAAAGGAUUCCAAGUGAGAUUUGGCAAUUUUAAAUGAAUUCUCAAUUAAUUAAAACAAAUAUAAAUUACAUAAAUAAAAUCAUAUAUUACAUAAACCUAGGAAAGACAACAUAAUUGUACAUUAGGCAUUGGCAAACAAACAUAAAUACUAAAGACAAGCAAUGAAAACCUCUUUGGAUUUUAGUUUCAUACCCAUGUUUGGUACAUGUUCCUCAAGACCAGACUGAGUAUGAAAGUGGACUCCACCAGGCUCCGAGCCUCAAGACCAGGGCUAGGACCAGAACCAAGAGGGCUAGGACCAGGACCAAGAGGGCUAGGACCAGGACCAAGAGGGCUAGGACCAGGGCUAGGACCUGGACUAGGACCAGGACCAAGAGGGCUAGGGCCGUGGUGGAGCAUCUUUGUACUAGAAGCCUCACAGAGAGACAACUAGAAAAGGAUAAAGCUAUUUGACCGAUAUUUGAGCAGUUUCUCUCAACAGGUUGAACUACUAGUCUGUUUUGUAUUUUUGGUUUUGCUUAUUUUGAACGUGUGGAGUAGUAGAGUUUGUUUUCCCCAAAAAGUCAUACAGGAUGUGCCUAUGAGCACCCAACCCCUCUGUCCCCUACUGUACCCUCCUUCACUAACACGGACGCUGUGAUUCAGCAGUGGACUGGAGAGUGAGGUGAAUAGAUGAGAGAGAGAGAGAGAGAGAGAGAGAGAGAGAGACAGCUCUUUGUUAUCUUUGGUGUGUACUGUAGUUUCACAUAGUUUCACAGAAUCAUGUUUCUCUACAGACUGCAGUGACAGAUACAGCUGAAUCCUCCGGGCAUGAUGAUCCCUAGUGGACUGGACAGACGGAGAACCGAGGUAAUCAGUGUCCAGUGAAAGGGAGUGAUGGAGAGGAUGCAUCAUACCUACUGAAUCACACAGUGUCAUGUUGAAGAAGGAGCGUACCCUUAACAUCAUACAUACAUGUACUACUAUACAUGCAUGUACUGGGUAGCGCUAGCUAUACGGUAUGCAUGCAUGUAUACAUAUGUGGCUGUAUGUAUGGUCAACAUUGUCAGGAAAAUAAACUUUGGGGGAAAACUUCUGUAGGAAUAAUUAUGAAUCUUUGGUUUUGUAGCUGAUGAGGUUUUCGUUGUUCUUUUCCAUUUUUCUUGAAAAACUGCAUAGGCACACGUUAAAGACAACCUUCCAACUUUCAGAGACACGUCAUUCUGCCUUAGGAAACAACUGCCGCAGCGGCAUAGUUCCCACACGUGUUUUAAACCCUUUCAGUCUCAUCCUGCUUCCCCUUAAAAUGUCCUGACCAAUCAGAACAGAACAAAGCUACUUCUCCGUUCCCCCUGAUGUCUGUCCUCCUCCUCUUCCUCUUCAUCAUCAUCAUCAUCGCUGCUCACAUUUAUAAUUAUCUUCCUCUUUAGAACAGUUUUGUUGUAGAACAGUUAGGUGCAGAAAAAGUUUCUUUGGUUUUGAUUUGUCAAUAAAUAGAAAAAAGUCUCAAAUGUCCAUUUCUGGUCCGUCAAGCCUUUGGCUCACUUUUAUAUCACGAAAAAACCUGUGUACCACGGGACAAGGGGCUGCUUACCGGACUUUUUGCUUUGGUUGUUUGAUCGAUGGCUGAUAGAAGGAUAGACGAGUUUGACAUGAUUGAACUCUAAAGAUCUUAUGUAUGGGGUUGACUUGAAAAGUAGCAGGUUGUAUAUAUUUACAGAAUGUGUAAUAUAAUGAAUGGUUGCUACUGUGUUGAGUGGAGUCCUCAACACAGGCAUGUGUAUAUAAUCAUCAUUGGUGUACCAUACAGAUGGAGUAUCAGCACAGCAGUUAAGAAGCAGACUCUGGGGUCUGCGUCCCAAAUUGCACCCUAUUCCCUACACAGUGCACUAAAAGUAAUACACUAUAUAGGGAAUAAGGUGCCAUUUGGGGCACAGACACACUCUUCCUGGUUUGUUUCUUGGUCUGUUUCUUUCUUAGCCUGGUGCCCAGGGUGUUGCCUCUACAAGACUAGUAGAGUCCAGUGGAGACUAGUAGAGGCUAGUGGAGGUUAGUGGAGACUAGUGGAGACUAGUGGAGGUUAGUGGAGACUAGUGGAGACUAGUGGAGGUUGGUGGAGGCUAGUGGAGGUUAGUGGAGACUAGUUGAGACUAGUGGAGGUUAGUGGAGACUAGUGGAGACUAGUGGAUGCUAGUGGAGGUUAGUGGAGAUUGUGGAGACUAGUGGAGGUUAGUGGAGACUAGUGGAGGUUAGUGGAUGCUAGUGGAGGUUAGUGGAGACUAGUGGAGAUUAGUGGAGGCUAGUGGAGACUAGUGGAGGUUAGUGGAUACUAGUGGAGGUUAGUGGAGACUAGUGGAGGUUAGUGGAGACUAGUGGAGGUUAGUGGAGACUAAUGAAGGUUAGUGGAGUAUAGUGGAGGCUAGUGGAGACUAGUGGAGGUUAGUGGAGUUUAGUGGAGGUUAGUGGAGACUAGUGGAGACUAGUGGAGGUUAGUGGAGACUAGUGGAGGUUAGUGGAGACUAGUGGAGGUUAGUGGAGACUAAUGAAGGUUAGUGGAGUAUAGUGGAGGCUAGUGGAGCCUAGUGGAGGUUAGGGGAGGUUAGUGGAGACUAGUGGAGAUUAGUGGAGACUAGUGGAGAUUAGUGGAGACUAGUGGAGGUAAGUGGAGACUAGUAGAGGUUAUUGCAGCUGAUUGAUAUUGUCAUUAAAAUAGAAUUGAUGGUUACUAUGUUAAGAUAAACCAUGUUAAGCCAGGGUAGAAUAAUAACUUUAGUCUUACCAGAAAGCUUCUAUAAUACAAAGUUAGGAAACAGGGGGAAAUGGCUCCUCAGGGUUGUGGCCUACUGUCCUAUUUAGUGUUUAUUUGGACAUGGGUGGUUUGUCGAGAUUAUACUAUAGAGAGUAUAGUACUAUACUGUGUGUGUGCAAGAGUGGGUAGUAUAGUAGUAAUUGUAGUAUUAGUAGUAGUUGUAGUAUUAGUAGUAGUUGUAGUAUUAGUAGUAGUUGUAGUAUUAGUAGUAGUAGUCAGUGUUCUUCAGCCUCUGUUUAGAAAUGGCAUCCUGAGUUUUCUAAUAUGUGAAGAACAUUCUACAUUGAGCUGCAGCUCCAGUUCUAUUGCAAAUAAAAUGUGCUUCAAGAUUGUGCUCAAAUAGUUUACAGACCACGACAUAUGUUGAGAGAGAGCUACGUGUAGUAUUUACUUUACACUGUAAAGAGUCAAUGGUGUGUGUGUGUGUGUGUGUGUGUGUGUGUGUGUGUGUGUGUGUGUGUGUGUGUGUGUGUGUGUGUGUGUGUGUGUGUGUGUGUGUGUGUGUGUGUGUGUGUGUGUGUCGGUCAUGUGUGUGUCGGUCAUGUGUUGUGCUUGCAUACUUGCCAGUAGCUGGCUGUGGAAAGGUCUCUUAAGUCCUAAACCUCCCUCUCCCCUCAGAGGAUUCUCUGAUGAUGUUUCAGCCAUCCUCUCUAAUAUCAUGCCUCUCUCUCUAUCUGCUGUCUAUUGGUCUGUUCUCAAGUUAUGAAAUCACACUAGGGUUGCUUUCUCAAAAUUCUUAGGUUUUCCCAGAAAUCCUGGGCGGAGGGUUCCGGAUUUCCUGUUAAUUCCCUCCUGAUUCCGGGAGCUUCCAACCGGGUUUUCUGGGAGAAAAAAAAAAAACCCAGGCAGAUAGCAGGCUAACUAGAGGUAGACCCCGUCUAUACAGGAUUUCUCUGCCCUCUGUUCUCAGUUCCUAGGGAAAAGAAUUGCACAACUAAAUUGUAAAGCUGGCUAAACAUGGAUAUUAAACUAAUUAUUAUUCCAUUGACAUGGGUAAGAUCAAUACCUGUAUAUAGUCAGUCUUUUCUGCUUUUGACAUUUUUUUUUUGACCUGGAUUUGUGUCAACAACAUUCAUCUGAAACAUAUCAGAACUUGUCUCCAUCAUUGGAGAUAAUACUAGGUAUUUGGAGCCAAAUGUUUUAUUUCCUAACAUAAGUAUGCUAUAUGACGAUCUCAAAGAAGUCCUUUACCGGGAGAUUGCUAGAACAUUCUGUGGUUAAGUCUUUGGUGGGUUAGCUAACCCUGUAGUUUCAAUCCAAUAUUACAUAUAGAUAAUUUACAUAAUAUAUAUAUAUGUUAGCAUAUUAUACUUGGUCUUUGGUUUUGUGGGCUAAUGUUUUGAGUGACAUUAUAAAAAAAACUAGAAUAGAGCAGAUUAACUGUGGUUCAUUAUAAUAAAGCUAUAGUUUUCAGAUAGACAUUAGUCAUGAAUAGCCUUGUAUUGGUGGUAUCAUUCAGGCAGUGUGCAAAGGGGGGUGGGAUUAACCCUAUAGUGCUUCAUCAAUGCAUCAAUGUUUUAUAAAUGGAUCUGAUUUCUUUUUUUUGCUAAAUCGGCCAGUAAACAACCCCUUUCCUUUUUAACUCAUCCUCAAAAAAAGCAAAAUGUAAAAACGUUUUGGUUUUCCAGUGGUGCUGCGAAGCCCCUCCCCCUCCCCCCUCCGCC
rnacentral:lncRNA from 1 species